AUGCCGCCUCCCCUCCAUCCAACGUCGCUGUCCUUCAUGGCAUUCACCCUCCGCUCCCUCCAACACGCCGCGCGUCACGUCCAUUUACAGCAAGAUGCAAACGAACCGCCCAUGUAUGCUCCUGCUUCACGCUCGCCGGCGGUGGCGCAGCGGAGUUUGGCAAGGCCAACACCUAGCGGCACAGAAUGGGGCUGUCGGAGGGUUAAUGCGGGGCAUCGUAGGUACAUGGUGAUCGAUAGCCUCCGCAUCUCCAAUAUCACGCUACUGAACACCUUCGCGGUGGCGGAUUUCAGCGCUUUGCAGGAGAAGAUCGUGCAGAUCGGCUACAAGGAUGUGAUUAAGAUCAAUCUACCAGACUGUUUUUUAGGAUGGUUUAUUCCAGGUUCAUAUAAUUAUGAUGACUUGAAGGAUAUGAUGUUCGACAACAUAUCCGAAUCCUUCAAUGCUGACUUUGAGGAUGGUACCAUUGGGGAGGUCCGGAUCUUUGAGAGUAUCCUUCAUGAUGAAUAUGGAGAAGUAAUGAAUAUCCAAGUACUUGUUGUGGCUGAAAGGGUAAAUCAGUUCACCCAUUGUAUUUGA
rnacentral:rRNA from 1 species